AAGGCCGUUGCGGGUUAGCGUCAAAGCCAUGGCUCGACUCGUCAGCGAAAUCUUGAUCCGCGCAUCAGUCACCGCUAACGACGUUAAUGAGAUGGAGUAAAUGAAGGAGAGGGUAGGUGGUAGGUGGAUGUGGGUGGCUCAUUCUUAUCGCAUUUGUUGGUCGGCUUCUACCAGGCUCCGUAGGCGGCGACAGCGACAACUGCGCUAGGGUUCCUGAAGCUCUGCUCCGGCGUCAAUGGAGUUCUUGAUGCAGCCCUUCAACAGAACCUUGACUGAGGAGGUGACGGAUAGUGAGUUGCCAAUGGAGCCGGUGCACCACACUGUGCGGUCGCCCCCAGGCGGAGAAGUGGGAGGUGCGAGUCCUUAGAUUAGUAGUGGGCAGAUCUGUCCCCCAUCGGCGGAAGGACAGGCCAGGAGUGGAGAUAAGGCAACUGCUUCAGAGAACUCCGUAGAGCAGAUUGAUCCAAAAACGCCUGCUUGGACACGAAGGGUCAGGAUAGGUGCUGCAGCACCAGGGCGUGCACCAUGCCCAGAUAGGAUGACCGCAUUAGAGAAAUCAGUCUGUUUUUUAGUCCCCUGGGGAGAAUGUCAUUGUACCAAAAUUAGGGCUCAGUUUCGAUACACUCGGCGAGGCCUACGAUUUCUACAAUCUACACUCCUGGGAGAAAGGCUUCAGGAUUAGAUAUGGGAAGAGCAUGCUUAAUGUUAACCGGACAAAAUGCAUGCAGGAGAUCGUGUGUGGUUGCGCGGGGAAACCAAUAGUGGAGAAUACUCGGUCAUGCUGUUGCGAAUGUCCUGCCCUUGUAAGAUUGCUGUGGUCAAAAGACAAUGGGUGGUACAUAGCAGAGCACAAGGAUAAUCACAAUCAUGCCUUGUCCAACACCUAUGGACAAACUUUGCACUGGCCAUCGCACAAGCACAUCAACGUGUACAGCAGGGAUCUGGUGAAGCAGCUGCGAGAGAACAAUGUGAACCUAUCCAAAGUGUACAACAUUAUUGGUAGUUUCUUUGGGAGGAUGGAGAAUGUACCAUUCACAAAGAGAGCGCUCAGGAACUUGUGUGGCAAAAUCAGUCGUGACCAGGCAGAGGAUGACGUUAGGAAGAUAAUGGAGGUGUUUUAGGAAAUUGGUGCUCAGGAUCAGCAGUUCACAUACAGGGUACAAGCUGACAAAGAAGGAAGGAUAAGUAGUCUUAUGUGGGCGAAUGGAAAUAGCCGACUUUAGUAUACCUUCUUCGGGGAUGUAGUUACUUUCGACACCACUUACCGAACUAAUCUUUAUGAUAUGCCAUUUGGGUUAUUUGUCAGGGUGAACAACCAUUUCCAGAGCAUCAUACUUGAUGGUGUGCUAGUGAGGGAUGAGAAACAAGAGACAUUUGAGUGGGUAUUCUCCGAAUUUGUGAGGAUGAUGGGUGGCACUCCACCCCGAACAAUUCUAACCGAUAAGUUAUAAGUUAUUCAAAAUUAUAAGCAUGAAAAACAUAGUUUCCAAUGAUGAGCAAUGUGGAUGGCACACUUUGCUUAUUGUAUGAAACCUGCUUUGCAUGUGCAGACCAAAAUUGUGCAAUGGAAAUUGCCAUAGAGAAUGUGUUGCCAAAUACAGCACACAAGUGGUGCAAGUGGCACAUGUUGAAGAAGGCGAAGGAGUCCCUGGGUCCGCUGUAUUCAAAGAAGAGUGAUUUUCAGGUAGAGUUCCACAAAGUUGUUAACCACAUGUUAACAAUUGAUGAGUUUGAGGAACCAUGGAAGAUGCUCAUCAAGAAGUACAACCUGAGAGCUCAUAACUACAUGACCAAUCUCUACGAGAUCCGACACAAAUGGGCGAAACCAUACUUCAAAGGAGUGUUCUGUGCGAAAAUGACUAGUACUCAACAUAGUGAAAGAGCAAACCACAUGUUGAAGAACUAUGUCCCUCCUGGGUGCCCUAUGCACAUGUUUGUGAGGAAGUACAUGUUGCUGCAGUUUGACGGAGAAGCUGAGGAAAAUUAUGAGGAGAAAAGAACCAGAAUUGGAAGGAAACUAAGGGCAUUUCUGGUUUGCACUAAUUACUUUGCAUAUGUCUGUAGCUAAUAUCAAAUUGGUUUAUUGCAGGGCAGGCCUCUUCUACGAGCAAACAUAGCUACAGAAAGACAUGCUGGAUAGAUUUACACGAGAGCUAUGUUUGAAUAGUUUGGCCAUAUCAUCUACGAGUGUGGUGCAUACUAGGUUGAGGAGAUUGAGAAGGGGAAAACAUAUGUCGCAAUCCAUUCUAAUGCAGCUCGUAGAGAGAAGUGGUGCAGAAUUUCAUACAAGGUGACCGUGAUGGAUGGUGGCGACGAGUUUGAUUGUGAAUGCGGUCAAUUUUCCCACAUGGGCCUCCUCUGCAGCCAUGUACUCAAGGUACUGGACUUCAUCCGCAUAUCAGAAAUUCCUAAGAAACACAUAAUGAAGAGGUGGACAAGAGACGCACGGGACGUCCUGCCUCCACAUCUGAGACAGUUUCAGAGAGACAAUGCUGACAAGAAUAACACAUUUAGUUAGCAGCAUUUCAAGAUGUAUAUGCAUGCAAUGGAGCUUGUGCGGAUGGGAGACACAAGUGUUGAGGCGUAUGAGCACCUAAUGAAAUUGUUCAAGGGUUGUGCUGAAGAAAUGAAGCCAUUUGCAGAUAUUAUAGACGAACUUGGACUCGAAGACAAGAUAGCUGAAAAUGGUCUGGUCGUGAACAAGGAAUCAACCAUGGGAGAUCAUGCUGGUGGUGGGGUAAAAAGGAGCACACCUAACGAAAAUGAUGAUGUGCACUCAGCAAAUGAAUAUGGCAAUGCCAUGGCUGGACUGUUGCCUCCUGCAAAGAGGAAGGAAAUGGGAAGGCCUACAACAAGCAGAGAGAAAGCUCCGUACGAAGGACUCAGUAAGAGAACAAGAUUCUGCAUGAUUUGCCGUCAACAGGGGCACAAGCGGACGACGUGCCCUGACCGAGGCGACAUCCCAAAACAGCCACGGAAACCAGCAAGAUGCAAAAAUUGUGGGGUCGAAGGUCAUAGGCGAAAUAUGUGCCACAAAGUGGGGCAGAUUAGGAUGGAAAAAUGAUGUAAUAUCUUGUUGGAUGUGUGUGGUCUGGAGAAUGAAAAUGUAAGCAUAUCCUGUUAUGAGUGGAUGGCAUGAACCUGUAAAAUGCUUGACAAAAUAACUUUGUGUGUGGAAAAUCAUGGUUGCUAAUAUGAAUGACCUUCUAUA